CCUACGGGUGGCUGCAGUGGGGAAUAUUGGACAAUGGGGGAAACCCUGAUCCAGCCAUGCCGCGUGAAUGAUGAAGGCCUUCGGGUUGUAAAGUUCUUUUGGAGGGGACGAUGAUGACGGUACCAUCAGAAUAAGCUCCGGCUAACUUCGUGCCAGCAGCCGCGGUAAUACGAAGGGAGCUAGCGUUGUUCGGAAUUACUGGGCGUAAAGGGCGCGUAGGCGGUUUGGUCAGUCAGAUGUGAAAGCCCAGGGCUUAACCCUGGAACUGCGUUUGAUACUGCCAAGCUUGAAUUCGGGAGAGGUGAGUGGAAUUCCCAGUGUAGAGGUGAAAUUCGUAGAUAUUGGGAAGAACACCGGUGGCGAAGGCGGCUCACUGGACCGACAUUGACGCUGAGGCGCGAAAGCGUGGGGAGCAAACAGGAUUAGAUACCCUAGUAGUC
rnacentral:rRNA from 1 species